rnacentral:piRNA from 1 species
UUCAGAGGGUCUACUUUCUUGUAAGAUAGAU